GUGUAUUUAGCCUGGAAAAGAUGGAGCAAGCUUGUUUUCUCCUGCUCUACAGGGUAAGACCAAAACCAGUGGUUACAAGAAAGGAGAUUCUGACUAAACAUCAGGAAGAACUUUAUGAUGUUAGGAGGCUCAGCCAGAAGAGAAGCCUGUGCAGAAAUAUAGCAGGAUAAACAUAGCUAGACCAAGAUGGAAGGAGGCGGCUAAAGAAGAAGCAAAAGCAGGAAGCAGAGAGAGAGAGAAAGGAAAACCAUCCUCAGCAUGAAGGACCACUACAAGGAAAAACACAUGAGGCCAUAAACAUAAUUGCUGGCUGGCAAGAACUGCCUGUCACGUCCUUCUCGUAGAGUCUCCCUUUGCUGGUAAUAGAGCAGCAGCACAAAAUAACUGGAAGGGAGGGCCCUGUUUAUUUACCUUGUAAUUAGGACGUGCCGGGAAAUGCUUAAUAUAAAAUGUCACUUGAAAGGGGAUAAAUUACCAAACGUCACAAUAGACAACUGCCUCGGAAUAGCAUGUCCUGCUUCCCAGGUAGCUGAGUCCCAUGUGGUGGAAUAAGGAUCUGAUGUAUAUGCUCCCAAGGCUCUGUCAGAACAGCAGAACAGAGUGUGGCCCCUCUAAGGACAGCAGUAGGUGGGUUGCAGGUG